GUUGAGCUCACCUUAGGACACCUGCGUUAGAGUUUUACAGAUGUGCCGCCCCAGCCAAACUCCCCACCUGACUAUGUCUUCCGCACAGAUCAACCAUCAAAGGAGAUGACCUUAGAUCCAAAACUCGCUGUG
rnacentral:rRNA from 1 species